rnacentral:lncRNA from 1 species
GAGAUGGAGACAGAGACAGAGACAGAGUUAGAGAGAGAGAAGUGCGAUGGAGAAGGUGAUGUGGUUUGAACCACCGCACGAACACCUGCUCGAACACCACCACCGGAGUUGCUUCAUCCCCAACACAAACAAUUCUCCGCUCCACCUCACAAACCUCGAUUAAGAGAGAGAUUUCUGAGCGAUUGGCGUCGUUUCAAAGCCGAUGACGAUGAUAGAUCGUGGUUGCUUUAGGGUUCCGAUAGGGUGGUUCUAGGCGGCGUGGCGGCGGCGAAGUCGACGCGAUGGGGAAGCUAAUUUUGACAAAGAGGGUACACCGGUGGGUUAAAUAGCAGCAAAGAAAGGGUCAUUAACUUGAGGUGCUGCGUCGAUUAUUAUCAAGGAACGUUGUAAUUUGGAUUAUUAACUCCCUAUCGAACCCGAUUCUCAUCUCGAGGCAGGAUUUUUUUAAUACGUCUCAGUUUGGUUCCUGCGAAGUUAGGGUUCCGGUGAGUUUUCCGGUAAAUCGUAUUUCACAUGCUGAAGAUUCGGAACCGCGACGUUAGUGUAUGAUUUUAUGACAUACAUUUUAAAUGAGAAAUUUGUUUGAUGUUUGUUGUAAAUGGUUAACUGUAAGGGUGAUAUUAUUGGUAUCAUGCAGAAUAUAGAAAAGCAAAACAAUUUUUAAAUUAUUUUGGUUUUGGCCAUGUGCAAAGCAAAAGGAAGAAUAAGAAAAUACAAUGAAGUUUUGAAGGUGUUGGACGGUUUGCUUCCAAGAUGAUAAAAAUGGAGAAAGGGUAUAAAGAAAACAGGAGCAUGAUGUGCAGGCCUACUUGACUUUUGUUUGCGUGGGCAUGGUCUUCUGAAAUUUAUAUCGACAACUCUUAAUUGAAGGUGUUGGAACAACAGCUGCUGGUCUUAGGUUGUGGUAACAAUCCUAACAAGUUUUUCGCACUUCUUUUUUCUUUCGGAAUGUUUGUUUCUAAAUUGUUCUUAGGACCCAACCACAAUUGUACUCUUUGGGGAAUAUUUCAUAUGUUUUUUUUUUUUGUGAGUUAGUAAUUAAGUCAUUAAUUGUUC